GCCGGGCGUGGUGGCUCAUGCCUGUAAUCCCAGCACUUUGGGAGGCCAAGGCGGGUGGAUCACCUGAGGUCAGGAGUUCAAGACCUGCCUGGCCAACAUGGUGAAACCCCGUCUCUA
ensembl:misc_RNA Metazoa_SRP Metazoan signal recognition particle RNA